AUUGUAGGCAGAGAGCUCCUGAAUCUUCUGAACUUAAGGAGCAGCUGUGGAAGGUAUUGAACUAGGAUGAAGAUGUUUCAUGUGAAGCAAAUAACAAUUUUGUCUGCCUUUCAUCCAGCAAUUCCUCAGCUGCUUAUUAGCCCUCUGUCUCAUGCCAGUGAAGUGCUUCCAUGCUUACUCAGGACAGAAGAGGUCAACAGGCACUUGAGCAGGAAGUCCCCCUGGUUUAAUUGUCUAGCAGUCAGUGGUGAGACAUUUUCAGUGGAGGGCACUUGACUCUGCAGUUCUCUUCCAAGGAAGCCUAGAAUGGAUUCACUGACCUGUGUGGCACAGUGAAGUUUUUACCUAGAAGGAGA